GCCUCCUUAGCUCAGUGGUAGAGCUCUGGUUUUGUAAACCAGCGGUCGUCCGUUCAAAUCGGUCAGGGGACU
rnacentral:tRNA from 1 species